rnacentral:rRNA from 1 species
AAGACCCCGGAACCUUUACUGCAGUUUGGUAUUGAGUUUGGUUACUAUUUGUGUAGGAUAGGUGGGAGACUUUGAAGAUGUCGCGCUAGCGGUGUUGGAGUCAUUGGUGAAAUACCACCCUGACAGUAUUUAGAUUCUAACUUUGACCCUUGAAUCAGGGCAAAGAACAGUGCCAGAUGGGCAGUUUGACUGGGGCGGUUCCCUUCUAAAAUGUAACGAAGGGGUUCAAAGGUUUCCUCAAGACGGUCGGCAAUCGUCUUUAGAGUGCAAUGGCAUAAGGAAGCUUAACUGCGAGUCCGACAGGACGAGCAGAUACGAAAGUAGGACAUAGUGAUCCGGCGGUUGAUCAUGGGAUUGCCGUCGCUCAACGGACAAUAGGUACUCCGGGGAUAACAGGCUGAUAGCGUUCGAGAGUUCAUAUCGACAACGCUGUUUGGCACCUCGAUGUCGGCUCAUCCUAUCCUGGGGCUGGACAAGGUCCCAAGGGUCCGGCUGUUCGCCGGUUAAAAGGGUACGCGAGCUGGGUUUAGAACGUCGUGAGACAGUUCGGUCUCUAUCUGGUGUGGGCGUUCGAUAGUUGAAGGGGAUAUCUCCUCAGUACGAGAGGACCGGGAGAUACAGACCUCUGGUGUUCCAGUUAUCCUGCCAAGGGUAAUGGCUGGGUAGCUACGUCUGGAAAGGAUAAGCGCUGAAAGCAUCUAAGUGCGAAGCCCACCUCAAGAUUAGCUAUCGUUUUCCGCUUCGGUGGAAUGAAGGCUCCUCGUAGACUACGAGGUUGAUAGGCUGCAUGUGUAAGACCCGUGAGGGUUUCAGCUAAGCAGUACUAAUAGGCCGAAGGCUUGACCUU